rnacentral:misc_RNA from 1 species
GAAAACACACCCAUGGCGAUUGACAAUAACAUAUUCUUUAGAAAGGGAAAGGUAGGAGAUUGGGAGAAUCAUCUGACGCCUGAAAUGGGAGCUCGUCUGGAUGGGAUAAUGAAGCACAAGUUAAUGUGUUCUGGCCUGAUUGCCUCCUCACAUGAGAUAUUAUGCCCUCCCAAGUGCCCCAAGUGAUAAACAAUAUUAAUUAUUCAUGGUUCAAAGACUAUAAUUUCAUGGUAAACCAGAUCGAUUUAUCUCAUUUAUU